AGAACGAACGCUGGCGGCAUGCCUAACACAUGCAAGUCGAACGCUCUUGGGGCUUCGGUCUCAGGGGAGUGGCGCACGGGUGAGUAACACGUGACUAACCUACCCUGGAGUGGGGGAUAACUGGGAGAAAUCCUAGCUAAUACCGCAUAAUACCUACGGGUCAAAGGAGCAAUUCGCUUCAGGAGGGGUCGCGGCCGAUUAGUUAGUUGGCGGGGUAAUGGCCCACCAAGACGAUGAUCGGUA
rnacentral:rRNA from 1 species